AUUUGACUCAACACGGGAAAACUUACCAGGUCCAGACAAAAGGAGGAUUGACAGAUUGAGAGCUCUUUCUUGAUUUUGUGGGUGGUGGUGCAUGGCCGUUCUUAGUUGGUGGAGUGAUUUGUCUGGUUAAUUCCGUUAACGAACGAGACCACAGCCUGCUAAAUAGUCCGGAUUGUACUUUACAGUCUAGGGCUUCUUAGAGGGACACCGAGUUACCAAGCUCGGGGAAGUUUGUGGCGAUAA
rnacentral:rRNA from 1 species